CCCGAGGAAAAGAAAUCAACCGAGAUUCCCCUAGUAGCGGCGAGCGAACGGGGAGCAGCCCAGAGUCUUAAUCAAUAGCAGUGUCAGGAGAACGGUCUGGAAAGUCCGGCAGUAAAGGGUGAUAGCCCCGUAUCUGAAGAUGCUGUUAUUGUGAACUCGACGAGUAGGGCGGGACACGUGUUAUCCUGUCUGAAUAUGGGGGGACCAUCCUCCAAGGCUAAAUACUCCUGAUUGACCGAUAGUGAACCAGUACCGUGAGGGAAAGGCGAAAAGAACCCCGGCGAGGGGAGUGAAAAAGAACCUGAAACCGUGUACGUACAAGCAGUAGGAGCCUCUUUAUGGGGUGACUGCGUACCUUUUGUAUAAUGGGUCAGCGACUUAUAUUCUGUAGCAAGGUUAACCGUAUAGGGGAGCCGUAGGGAAACCGAGUCUUAACUGGGCGAAUGAGUUGCAGGGUAUAGACCCGAAACCCGGUGAUCUAUCCAUGGGCAGGUUGAAGGUUGGGUAACACUAACUGGAGGACCGAACCGACUAAUGUUGAAAAAUUAGCGGAUGACUUGUGGAUGGGGGUGAAAGGCCAAUCAAACCGGGAGAUAGCUGGUUCUCCCCGAAAGCUAUUUAGGUAGCGCCUCGUGAAUUCAUCUUCGGGGGUAGAGCACUGUUUCGACUAGGGGGUCAUCCCGACUUACCAACUCGAUGCAAACUGCGAAUACCGAAGAAUGUUAUCACGGGAGACACACGGCGGGUGCUAACGUCCGUCGUGAAGAGGGAAACAACCCAGACCGCCAGCUAAGGUCCCAAAGUCAUGGUUAAGUGGGAAACGAAGUGGGAAGGCUCAGACAGCCAGGAUGUUGGCUUAGAAGCAGCCAUCAUUUAAAGAAAGCGUAAUAGCUCACUGGUCGAGUCGGCCCGCGCGGAAGAUGUAACGGGGCUAAACCAUGCACCGAAGCUGCGGCAGCGA
rnacentral:rRNA from 1 species